UGACGCUUUUGAUGAUUGCUCAUCUUCUCUAUUAGUCUUCUCUACGUUGAUUCAAAAUGAUAUAUACUCUAUUUGAAUCCAUAGGGACUUAAAAGUGUUUCCACGAGAGAUAUUUUAGUCAGAAUUUUAGGAUUAUCUAACUAAAUUUUUACGUUUGCUUUUUCAUUAAUCUCGUCAUUCUUCCCAAUAAAUUUGCAACAAAAUGGAAGGAUUUAGAUAGUCAUGUUUUUAAUCGAAUAUUCUCAAUUGGAAUUAAUAUUUUCUUGAAGGAAUCUGUCUUCGAGAGCUUUCCAAAGAAAUUGGGGUUCCUCCCAAUUUUCAUCAUAAGUAGUAGUUAU
rnacentral:lncRNA from 1 species